GGCUUAUUGAUCAGUUACUUAGAUUUACGGCUCGGGAUUGAAAAUCCCCGUGUCGGCGGUUCGAUUCCGUCCUCGGCCACCA
rnacentral:tRNA from 1 species